rnacentral:rRNA from 1 species
AACGCUGGCGGCGUGCCUAACACAUGCAAGUCGAACGAGGUCCAUCCUUCGGGAGAAGACCUAGUGGCGAACGGGUGAGUAACACGUGAAGAACCUGCCCCGAAGACCGGGAUAACCCUCCGAAAGGAGAGCUAAUACCGGAUACCCCCACCGAACCGCAUGGUUUGGUGAGGAAAUGGAUUCCGCUUCGGGAGGGCUUCGCGGCCUAUCAGCUAGUUGGUGGGGUAAACGGCCCACCAAGGCAUCGACGGGUAGCUGGUCUGAGAGGACGAUCAGCCACACUGGGACUGAGACACGGCUCAGACUCCUACGGGAGGCAGCAGUGGGGAAUCUUGCGCAAUGGGCGAAAGCCUGACGCAGCAACGCCGCGUGGGGAUGAAGGCUCUCGGGUUGUAAACCCCUUUCAGCAGGGACGAAUCAAGACGGUACCUGCAGAAGAAGCCCCGGCUAACUACGUG